rnacentral:rRNA from 1 species
GCCAGCAGCCAUAUCACCCUGCAGCUCUCAACUGGCUGCCCACUGAAGCUAAGCAGGUGUGAGCCUGGUCAGAACCUGGAUGAGAGAUCUCUUGGGAAGCUAUGGUUGCUGCUGGAA